AUAUGUUGAUGACAUAAUCCUUACCGGAGAUAAUACAGUUGAGGUAGAGAGACUAAAAGGGAGUCUAGCCACAGAAUUUGAAGUAAAAGAUCUAGGGCAGAUGAGAUACUUCUUGGGGAUGGAAGUAGCUAGAUCAAGGAAGGGUAUUAGUGUCUCACAACAAAGAUAUGUCCUGGACCUCUUGACUGAGAUAGGUAUGCUUGGGCGUAAAUCAAGUGACACUCCUAUGGACACUAAAAAAAGGACCAACAAUAUGGGAGAAUUGGUUGAUAAGGAUAGAUACUAGCGACUAGUGGGAAAGCUAAUCUACCUAUCGCACACUAGACCCGACAUUGCAUUCGCAGUUAUUGUGGUAAGCCAGCACAUGCAUUCUCCAAGGGAAACCCACCUAGAAGCAGUACACUAGAUUCUGAAAUAUCUCAAAGGUUCUACGGGAAAAGGAUUGUUGUUCAAGAAAAAUGAAAAAAGGGAGUAGAAAUAUUCACUGAUGCUGAUUGGGCAGGAGCAAUAGAAGAUAGAAGAUCAACCACUGGUUACUAUACUUUUGUAUGGGGCAACUUAGUAACUUGGAGAAGUAAGAAACAUAAUGUAGUCACCAGAACUAGUGCGGAAGCAGAGUUUAGAGCAGCUGCUCAAGGAAUGUGUGAAGGCCUUUGGUUAAAAAAACUCUUGGAAGAACUACAAGUCACAAUGAAAUUCUCAAUUAAGCUCUAUUGUGAUAACAAGUCAGCUAUCAAUAUCUCACUCAACAUAGUCCAACAUGACAGAACCAAACAUGUUGAAGUGGACACACUUCAUCAAAGAAAAUAUUGAAAAUGGCAUCAUUUGCAUGAUCUAUGUCCCUACCAAAGAACAAACGGCGGAUGUGUUCACUAAAG
rnacentral:lncRNA from 1 species